rnacentral:sRNA from 1 species
AAUUGUUGUAGGACGUGGGUUCAACUCCCGU